rnacentral:rRNA from 1 species
AGCUCCAAUAGCGUAUAUUAAAGUUGUUGCAGUUAAAAAGCUCGUAGUUGGAUUUCUGUUUUGAGCGUCCGGUCCGCUCUUUUGGAGUGUGUUACUAGGAUGUUUGAGACAUUUUUUGUGAGGAUGUUCUUCUGCCAUUCAGUUGGUGGUUGAAUAGACUUGCAUCGUUUACUGUGAAAAAAUUAGAGUGUUUAAAGCAGGCGUUUGCUCAUUGAAUACAUUAGCAUGGAAUAAUAAGAUACGACCUUGGUGGUCUAUUUUGUUGGUUUGCACACCAGGGUAAUGAUUAAUAGGGACAGUUGGGGGUAUUCAUAUUUCAGCGUCAGAGGUGAAAUUCUUGGAUCGCUGAAAGAUGAGCUUAGGCGAAAGCAUUUACCAAGGAUGUUUUCA